GAUGAACGCUGGCUACAGGCUUAACACAUGCCAGUCGAGGGGAAACGACGGGGAAGCUUGCUUCCCCGGGCGUCGACCGGCGCACGGGUGAGUAACGCGUAUCCAACCUGCCUCUGACUGAGGGAUAACCCGUCGAAAGUCGGCCUAAUACCUCAUGGUAUCGUCUGCGGGCAUCCAACGACGAUUAAAGAUUUCAUCGGUCAGGGAUGGGGAUGCGUCUGAUUAGCUUGUUGGCGGGGUAACGGCCCACCAAGGCUACGAUCAGUAGGGGUUCUGAGAGGAAGGUCCCCCACAUUGGAACUGAGACACGGUCCAAACUCCUACGGGAGGCAGCAGUGAGGAAUAUUGGUCAAUGGGCGAGAGCCUGAACCAGCCAAGUAGCGUGCAGGAAGACGGCCCUAUGGGUUGUAAACUGCUUUUAUGCGGGGAUAAAGUGAGGGACGUGUCCCUCAUUGCAGGUACCGCAUGAAUAAGGACCGGCUAAUUCCGUG
rnacentral:rRNA from 1 species